UCAAGCUAAUAAGAGCGUAGGGUGAAUGCCUUGGCAUUAAGAGCCGAAGAAGGACGCGGUUAACUGCGAAAAGCCAUGGGGAGCUGUAAGCAAGCAUUGAUCCAUGGAUAUCCGAAUGGGGAAACCCGGCGGUCGUAAUGGGCCGUCACCGUUACAUGAAUAAAUAGUGUAACGGGGGGAACCCGGUGAACUGAAACAUCUAAGUAGCCGGAGGAAGAGAAAGAAAGAUCGAUUUUCUUAGUAGCGGCGAGCGAACGGGAAAGAGGCCAAACCGGGACUCUACGGAGUACCGGGGUUGAGGACCUGCGGAAUCGAAGUCAGAGAUAGUCGAAGACGGUUGGAAAGCCGAACCGGAGAGGGUAAAAGUCCCGUAGGCGAAAUCAAAGACGAGAGGCGGGUAUCCAGAGUACCACAGGACACGAGUAAUCCGGUGGGAAGCAGGGGGGUCCACCCCCCAAGCCUAAAUACUACUUAAUGACCGAUAGCGUAUAGUACCGUGAGGGAAAGGUGAAAAGAACCCCGGGAGGGGAGUGAAAGAGAACCUGAAACCCUAUGUUUACAAGCAGAGGGAGCGAAAGCGACCUCGUACUUUUUGUAGAACGGGCCGGCGAGUUACUGUGUGCAGCGAGGUUAAGGCGUAGAGCGCCGGAGCCGAAGCGAGAGCGAGUCUGAAGAGGGCGAAAGUUGUGCGCAGUAGACCCGAAACCGGGUGACCUAUCCAUGGACAGGAUGAAGCGGCGGUAAGACGCCGUGGAGGUCCGAACCACACGUAUGUUGAAAAAUGCGGGGAUGAGCUGUGGAUAGCGGAGAAAUUCCAAUCGAACUCGGAGAUAGCUGGUUCUCCCCGAAAUAGCUUUAGGGCUAGCCUCGAUUUAGAUUACCGGGGGUAGAGCACUGAAUGGGCUAGGGGGCCACAAAGCUUACCGAACCCUAUCAAACUUCGAAUACCGGAUAAUUGAUGAUCGGGAGUCAGACAGUGUGAGAUAAGUUUCAUUGUCGAAAGGGAAACAGCCCAGAUCUACGACUAAGGUCCCAAAGUUCAAGUUAAGUGGAAAAGGAUGUGCAAUUGCGUAGACAACCAGGAUGUUGGCUUAGUAGCAGCCAUUCAUUCAAAGAGUGCGUAAUAGCUCACUGGUCGAGUGAUUGUGCGCCGAAAAUGUAACGGGGCUAAACUUGACACCGAAGUCUAGGCAGAAGGAAACUUCUGGGUAGGGGAGCAACGUGUACGGGCAGAAGCAGAAGCGGAAGCGACUGUGGACUGUACAGGAGAGAGAAUGCCGGCAUGAGUAGCGAGAGCAAAGUGAGAAUCUUUGCCGUCGAAAGCCUAAGGUUUCCUGAGGAAGGCUCGUCCUCUCAGGGUAAGUCGGGACCUAAGCCGAGGACAACAGUCGUAGGCGAUGGACAAUCGGUUAAUAUUCCGAUACCGCCGAGCAACCGGAUGCAGUGACACAGAAGGAUAGGCAGAGCGUGGCGAUGGUAGACCACGUCCAAGCAGUGAGGCUGUUGUGUAGUGAAGUACGCACAACGUAAGGCUGGGCUGUGAUGGGGAACGAUUACGAUCGGUAAGCUGCUGAAUUCACGCUGGCGAGAAAAGCUGCUACGAAGCGAAGGCGCCCGUACCGCAAACCGACACAGGUAGGCGAGGAGAGAAUCCUAAGACGAGCGGGAGAACCCUUGUUAAGGAACUCGGCAAAAUGACUCCGUAACUUAGGGAGAAGGAGUGCCCAGGAAUGGGCCGCAGAGAAUAGACCCAAGCGACUGUUUACCAAAAACACAGGUCUGUGCGAAGUAGAGAUACGACGUAUACGGGCUGACGCCUGCCCAGUGCCGGAAGGUUAAGGGGAAGUGUUAGGGCAACCGAAGCACGGAACUUAAGCCCCGGUGAACGGCGGCCGUAACUAUAACGGUCCUAAGGUAGCGAAAUUCCUUAGCCUUAAUUGUUUUGCUGGCAUUUGCCUUGAAUUUUUGGAUUCAUAAUAAAUGGGUUUCGGCGCUUGUUGGACUUGUGGCUGAAAUUGUCUUGUUUGUUUUGUAUUUCUUUUUCUCAUCCCAUUUUGAUGGUUUGCUGUACAACGUGUUAAGUGCGAUUUCAUUUACGGACCGGUACACAAACUUUACAUAUGGUAUUUUGGAUGUGAGCGCGAUGUUAUAUUAUGUGAGUGUUAGUUUUCUGUUUGUAUUCUUUACGAUUCAGAGAAUUAAGAAACAACGCUAUAAUUAGGAUGCGUGGAAAAGGAGGAUAUCAUGAGCAGGAAUAAAAAUGAAAAGAAAAAAUUUGCAAGCCGUAAAUUUAAGAUGGGAAGUUUUCAGACAAUUACGAUGGUAAUUGUGCUUGCCGUAGUAGUGCUUGUUAAUGUUGUAAUUGCCAGAAUGAACUGGUCAAAAGAUAUGAACUCGGAUUAUUUGUAUUCCCUGUCAUCCGAUACGAUUUCGUAUGUCAAAGGAUUAAAGGAUGACAUUACCAUUUAUUAUUUGGUGGAAGAUGGACAUGAGGCACAGACGAGUUCUUAUACAAAGACGAUUAAUGUCG
rnacentral:rRNA from 1 species